rnacentral:rRNA from 1 species
GUCGAGCGGACAGAUGGGAGCUUGCUCCCUGAUGUUAGCGGCGGACGGGUGAGUAACACGUGGGUAACCUGCCUGUAAGACUGGGAUAACUCCGGGAAACCGGGGCUAAUACCGGAUGGUUGUUUGAACCGCAUGGUUCAAACAUAAAAGGUGGCUUCGGCUACCACUUACAGAUGGACCCGCGGCGCAUUAGCUAGUUGGUGAGGUAACGGCUCACCAAGGCAACGAUGCGUAGCCGACCUGAGAGGGUGAUCGGCCACACUGGGACUGAGACACGGCCCAGACUCCUACGGGAGGCAGCAGUAGGGAAUCUUCCGCAAUGGACGAAAGUCUGACGGAGCAACGCCGCGUGAGUGAUGAAGGUUUUCGGAUCGUAAAGCUCUGUUGUUAGGGAAGAACAAGUACCGUUCGAAUAGGGCGGUACCUUGACGGUACCUAACCAGAAAGCCACGGCUAACUACGUGCCAGCAGCCGCGGUAAUACGUAGGUGGCAAGCGUUGUCCGGAAUUAUUGGGCGUAAAGGGCUCGCAGGCGGUUUCUUAAGUCUGAUGUGAAAGCCCCCGGCUCAACCGGGGAGGGUCAUUGGAAACUGGGGAACUUGAGUGCAGAAGAGGAGAGUGGAAUUCCACGUGUAGCGGUGAAAUGCGUAGAGAUGUGGAGGAACACCAGUGGCGAAGGCGACUCUCUGGUCUGUAACUGACGCUGAGGAGCGAAAGCGUGGGGAGCGAACAGGAUUAGAUACCCUGGUAGUCCACGCCGUAAACGAUGAGUGCUAAGUGUUAGGGGGUUUCCGCCCCUUAGUGCUGCAGCUAACGCAUUAGCACUCCGCCUGGGGAGUACGGUCGCAAGACUGAAACUCAAAGGAAUUGACGGGGGCCCGCACAAGC